UGAGGAACAUGACCUUCGGCGGGGGAUAGCCGGCCCAACGGCCGGGUAAUACCGCGUACGACCACUUGAGGACAUCCUCGGGUGGUGAAAGCAGCAAUGCGCCGAUGAAGUGCCUCGCGGCCUAUCAGCUAGUUGGUGAGGUAACGGCUCACCAAGGCGACGACGGGUAGCUGGUCUGAGAGGAUGGCCAGCCACAGUUGGGACUGAGACACGGCCCAGCCUCCGUAGGGAG
rnacentral:rRNA from 1 species